AUACUUACCUGGCAGGGGAGAUACCAUGAUCACGAAGGUGGUUUUCCCAGAGCGAGGCUUAUCCAUUGCACUCCGGAUGUGCUGACCCCUGUGAUUUCCCCAAAUGUGGGAAACUCGACUGCAUAAUUUGUGGUAGUGGGAGACUGCCACUAU
rnacentral:snRNA from 1 species